GUUGAGAUCUGCUGAAUAACACAGUGUAUUGUAUAUUUCAAAACUGCUAGGAGUAAAUCUGAGAUAUCACAACAAAAUAAGAUGUGUCUCAUAUAGGCCAUCACUGGAUACCACAAGGAACUCAGCCUUAAGCGUGAGCCCUUCCUCAAGUGCUCAAAUAAAAAGAGCUGGAGUCCUUGUGACUCACAGACAGAGGCCAAAGCAUUACUCAGAAAGCCAGGAGCAAGAGAUUGUCACCCGAAGUACUUUGUUGUGGGACCUCGCAGAUCUGAUUAUUUGUGACAUAUCUGUGUGACUCGGAGACUCCAGGAGCCUUAUACAGGGGAAUUACAGUGCAUACCUACGGAUGGAGCAGGACUUUCACCUCGGUAGAUCAUUGGUCUUCUGGGAAACAGCCUAUGGCUUGCUGCAUGGACAUGUGACCAGCUACGUGGGCGUGUGACCA
rnacentral:lncRNA from 1 species